GGCGUAAGGGCUCGCAGGCGGUUUCUUAAGUCUGAUGUGAAAGCCCCCGGCUCAACCGGGGAGGGUCAUUGGAAACUGGGAAACUUGAGUGCAGAAGAGGAGAGUGGAAUUCCACGUGUAGCGGUGAAAUGCGUAGAGAUGUGGAGGAACACCAGUGGCGAAGGCGACUCUCUGGUCUGUAACUGACGCUGAGGAGCGAAAGCGUGGGGAGCGAACAGGAUUAGAUACCCUGGUAGUCCACGCCGUAAACGAUGAGUGCUAAGUGUUAGGGGGUUUCCGCCCCUUAGUGCUGCAGCUAACGCAUUAAGCACUCCGCCUGGGGAGUACGGUCGCAAGACUGAAACUCAAAGGAAUUGACGGGGGCCCGCACAAGCGGUGGAGCAUGUGGUUUAAUUCGAAGCAACGCGAAGAACCUUACCAGGUCUUGACAUCCUCUGACAACCCUAGAGAUAGGGCUUUCCCUUCGGGGACAGAGUGACAGGUGGUGCAUGGUUGUCGUCAGCUCGUGUCGUGAGAUGUUGGGUUAAGUCCCGCAACGAGCGCAACCCUUGAUCUUAGUUGCCAGCAUUUAGUUGGGCACUCUAAGGUGACUGCCGGUGACAAACCGGAGGAAGGUGGGGAUGACGUCAAAUCAUCAUGCCCCUUAUGACCUGGGCUACACACGUGCUACAAUGGACAGAACAAAGGGCUGCGAGACCGCAAGGUUUAGCCAAUCCCAUAAAUCUGUUCUCAGUUCGGAUCGCAGUCUGCAACUCGACUGCGUGAAGCUGGAAUCGCUAGUAAUCGCGGAUCAGCAUGCCGCGGUGAAUACGUUCGCGGGCCUUGUACACACC
rnacentral:rRNA from 1 species